rnacentral:rRNA from 1 species
AUGGAGUCGUCGGGCGACACGGCGCCGUUGCACUCCUCACCGACCCCGACGUCGCCGCCGGCAAUGGCGACGGGGGCGGCGGUGGUGAUGAGCCCGUGCGCGGCGUGCAAGAUCCUCCGCCGCCGGUGCGUGGACCGCUGCGUGCUGGCGCCCUACUUCCCACCCACGGACCCCCACAAGUUCGCCACCGCGCACCGCGUCUUCGGCGCCAGCAACAUCAUCAAGCUCCUGCAGGACCUGCCCGAGGAGCAGCGCGCGGACGCGGUGAGCAGCAUGGUGUACGAGGCGGCGGCGCGCGCGCGGGACCCCGUCUACGGCAGCGCCGGCGCCAUCUGCCAGCUCCAGAGGCAGGUCGACGGCCUCAAGGCGCAGCUCGCGCGCGCGCAGGCGGAGCUCGCGGCCGCCCGCGCCCACCACGCGCACCUCGUCGCGCUGCUCUGCGUCGAGGUGGACGCCUACUGCACCGGCGGAGGCGGAUCACAGACCCAGCUCGCCGCACCGCCUGGUGUAGGCUCCGCGCACGCGGACGCGCUUUAUGUCGUCGACGGCGGCGCGGCGGGCGGCGGCGGCAUCAUGCAGGCCGGGCACGUCGGCUGGGCCGACGAGCCGCUCUGGACAUAA